CACGUAGGGGGCAAGCGUUGUCCGGAAUUACUGGGCGUAAAGGGUGCGUAGGCGGUCUGUUAAGUCCUGUGUGAAAGGUCCCGGCUUAACCGGGGAAGGCCAUGGGAAACUGGCAGACUUGAGUGCCGGAGAGGAUUGCGGAAUGCUCGGUGUAGCGGUGAAAUGCGUAGAUAUCGAGCAGAACACCAGUGGCGAAGGCGGCAAUCUGGACGGCGACUGACGCUGAGGCACGAAAGCUGGGGGAGCGAACAGG
rnacentral:ncRNA from 2 species